rnacentral:rRNA from 1 species
CAAUAGCGUAUAUUUAUGUUGCUGUGUUUAAAAAGCUCGUAGUUGGAUCUCGGCAGCUAGAGGGCGGUAUGCUUUGUAGUGUCACUGCCCUAUUAGCUGUGAUUUUUGUCAGAGGUUUCUGGGUGCUCUUCACCGAGUGUCCUGAGAUGCUGGCAGGUUUACUUUGAAAAAAUUAGAGUGCUUAAAGCAGGCUUUUAGGCCUGAAUAUUCGUGCAUGGAAUAAUAGAAUAGGAUGUCGUUUCUAUUUUGUUGGUUUUCAGAAAUCGACGUAAUGAUUAACAGGGACAGUUGGGGGCAUUUGUAUUCAAACGACAGAGGUGAAAUUCUUGGACCGUUUGAAGACAAACUACUGCGAAAGCAUUUGCCAAGAAUGUUUUCAUUAA